UACUGGAAAAUCAUUAUCGAUGACUACCUUGCCUAUAUUAGUAACUUCGGUGUUGCCCUUCGUCGCUAUUGAUUGAGCUGCAAAAAACUAUUUAUGGCACCAUCUGAUCUUGUUGCAACAACACAUACUCAUAAUCUCCAGCAAUGGAGUUGGCUCUAGUUCUUGAAUAGCUGGUGCAUGAGAAGGUCUGCAACCUAGACAUUGUUAAGCACGUCAUCAGCGCCAUUAAGGUCCAUACAAGGAAGACGUAACGAAAGAAUUUACACCUGAACGAGAUGAUGGAAAUGUGGAACAAUGAAAGGAACUGGCAGCUAUGCAUAUGACCGUAAUACAUGUACCGUAGUGGGGU